UAGGGAAUCUUCCGCAAUGGACGCAAGUCUGACGGAGCAACGCCGCGUGAGUGAAGAAGGAUUUCGGUUCGUAAAACUCUGUUGUUAGAGAAGAACAGCGUAUAGAGUAACUGUUAUGCGUGCGACGGUAUCUAACCAGAAAGCCACGGCUAACUACGUGCCAGCAGCCCCGGUAAUACGUAGGUGGCAAGCGUUGUCCGGAUUUAUUGGGCGUAAAGUGAGCGCAGGCGGUCAAUUAAGUCUGAUGUGAAAGCCCCCGGCUCAACCGGGGAGGGCCAUUGGAAACUGGUUGACUUGAGUGCAGAGGAGGGGGGUGGAAUUCCAUGUGUGGCGGUAAAAUGCGUAAUUAUAUGGAGGAACACCAGUGGCGAAGGCGACUCUCUGGUCUGUACCUGACGCGGAGGCUCGAAAACGGGGGUAGCAAACAGG
rnacentral:rRNA from 1 species